CGCGGAGCCGGCGCACGCCGCGCCGCGCCCCGCCCCCUCGGCACGCAGGCUCCGCGUGAGAUCGCGCACGCGCGCACGCACCCGCCAGAGCCUCGGUCUGGUCUGCGGGGACCCGGCGGGCGGAGGCCGGGCCGUUGAGGUACGAGGGGCGGAGUCCGAGCCGCCGCCGCUGCCGCCGCAGCCGGCGGCGGCAGAGGAGUAUAUCUGCAACUCGAGCCAAGAAAGUGAGGAUGGCCACCAAAUCAUGCCCCGAGUGUAACCAACAGGAGUGGAGCUGCAUGGUCAUAUCGUAAUUCAGUGUUUAAUUUAUUGAGGAAUUUAUUGAGUGUCUUCCCCAGGAGUUGCUGCAUUUACAGUUGGACCAACAUUGAACUUCCUGGUUUUAGCACUGGAAGUCCUAUCUUUCGGCAACUCCCUCAGUCCUGGGCAAAUUGGAAAGGUUCCUGUUGCAUGUAAAUCUUGUCCCUGUGGUUAUGUAUUUAUUAAUAGGAAAUAUCUAAAAAUGAAACAGUCAGAGAAAUCAGCACCUUUCACAGAAGUGAACAAUACCAUAUCUUUGAAAGAUUUAUGAAUACUUUUUUUAUAUGAAUUUAAACUAGGACAUAGUGCAGCCAUGGCGAGUAGAAACAUCAAUUCUGUCUUUGGAGAAGGCUCUGUUAGUGAAAGGACUAUCCGAUGGUGGUUUGAAAAAUUUCGUUCUGGGGAUCUGAGCCUGAAAAAUGAGCCUCGAGGGAGACCCAGAUCGGUUUUAAAUGAAGAUCAGUUGAGAGCCAUGGUAGAAGCUAACCCCAAAACAGCAAUUCGAGGCCUUGCGGCAGACUUAGGAGUUUCUGCUACAACAAUCUCUCGACACUUGGCUGCAAUAGGAAAGGUGAAAAAAUUGGACAAGUGGGUAGGUACGACACCUGUUGAUGGACAAUCAUAAACUCAGAUGGUUAGAGAUAUGCUCAUCUCUUACGAUUUGAAAGAGCAGAGACCUAUUUUGGAGAGGAUCAUAAACUUUGAUAAAAAAUGAAAUUGAAAGUCAUCUGGACAAUGAUUGGAUAUUGAUGAAGUUCCUGAAUAUGUGUUAAAACUGUUACUAAAACCAAAAAUAGGUUGUAUGGUGGUCUGCAAAAAGAGUUUCAUUACUGCUUUCUAACCUAGGUGAAACUAAUAGUAGGUUCUUACUGUCAAAAAGUUGAAAUUGUAUCAAAAAUUGAUUUAAAAGCACUCUGUUUUGGUUAGCAGACUUUUCCAUGACAGCAUUUGACCACAGAAGUCACAUACCACCAUAUGGAAGUUAACUGAAUUGGGCUAAGAAAUUUUGCCACUUCCAUCAUACUCACCUGACUUUUUUUCAAGGGAUUACCACCCUUCCUGUCAUUUGGAACUCUUCCUAAGAAACAGAACUUGCUGCAAUUGAAAACCAGUAAUUGAAAGAUUUGAAUAAAUUUUAGCAAUGCUGAAUUUUAUAAAUAUGGUAUAUAUCACUUAAUAUCUGGGGCAGUUUAUCAUUUUGGGAAAGCAGUUAAUGCUAACAGUGCCUACUUUGGUUGAAUAAAGCUUUUCUUUUUCUCAAAAAUAAAACAUUUUCAUUUGGCCUACAAAAAGGCAGUUUCAUGCGGUUCAACUUGAUACCUUCCCCGACCCUGGCAGAACAUGAAGACUCAAAGGUACCUACGGUACUGGAAAACUACAUGGUGCUCCUCAGUUUUGGGCUUCGUCAUUGGAGGAAUGUGGAGCAACCUGGAGUGUAUGUGUGUGUGAAAGAUGCUUUGGAGUCAGGUAUGCAAAGAUCUGAGUAAAGUGGGUUCCAGAGAGAUGAGCUGCCUCAUCAGAGGCUCUCAGAAAAUAUUUUUUGACUAAAGAAAUGAAAGCAUGUUUCUAACACUAAAAGCCAUGCACACGUGGCUCAGUAAUGCUUUCGGAUGAUAAUACUUAUUCUGUCACACAGAGCCAGUCCUUUUUGUUAAUAUGUUUUGCAUUCUGAUUCUGUAUUUAAAAAAAAAUGUAGAUAGCCUGUGAGAGGUCAUAAUUAAUGGCCUCUUUAUGAUUUUGUAGCUGGAUUGCAGUUACUCUUUGUGGCAUCUAGGAAUUGAGUUGGGAUAAAGAUCCUGGGAUGGUCCUCUUCCUGCCUCUUUCCUUCCUGACAACCUGCUAUGUCUAAUCCAUGAAGGAGAGGAGAGUUAAGGAAUCUUGAAAGAUAAGGUGUGAGAGAAGGACAUUCUGGAAUGGAUCCUACCAGGAGGGGGAGAGAGACAGAAAGAGAGGGAUGGAGGGAAAUGGAGGGGAGAGAAGGAAUGGAAAUUCCCUAAAGUAGAACUGACUAUGAACUCAAGGAUUAAGGGCCCUUUACUGCAAAAAACAAACAAAAAAACCCCACACAUUGUCCCUUCCUUUGGGUAGAUGCAGCCGUGCACUAUGACACAAGGCUUGGUGAGCAGAGCAUGGGAUACUUUCAGUCCUAAUUUACUCCCUUGGCUGGAUGCCCAGGUCUGGGGUCACCUGUUCUCUUUACUACUCUGUCUUUGGGUUUGUCAGGGUAUCUACUGUGUUUCUGUGGACUCUUGCUUACUCUCUGGAGAGUGAAGCUUCUGAUUUAGUGCAGACUGAGAGGGUAACAGGGCUAAGACCAGAAAUGUGAGGAGGACUUAAUUUCAAAGGCAGCACAAGGGUGAGGCUAAAUGGUAACAGGGUGGGAAAGUUGUGUUUUAUAGUUACUUAGUCUGGGUGGUAGUUGUGCUAUGGCCCAUGCAUCCUUCCCUCCAUUCUCAGACCUCUUAUCAGGCUCACAGAGCUGGAUGCUGAAUUUUGGCCUAAAACAAUCAGUGGAUAUCCUUGUCCAGCCCAAAUGAGUGGUUCUGGGAUGAACAGGAAAUCCAAACAGAAGCAGUGAAGCAUGAUGUAACAGGAAAAGGAGCAGACAUAGGAUGGUGAGUUAUCUUAGCAGUCUUCCCUACUACCUCCAAUAAAGGGUAUAGACCCGAGAGACAGAAAUGGGCCCGGUGGUUCUUGUGAGCCCAUGGAUCCAGUUGUGCCUGAGACUGGUACUGCUAUUAGUGUUUUUUAGUUAUAUGAGUCAGUAACCCUUUUUGCUUAAGCCAUUUUAAGUUGGAUUUUUCCAUUCUGGCAAAAGAAAGAUUCCUGACUGGUUAAUGCUCCCUGAGUCUUUCUUUAUUUAACUGUAACCUUUGCAGGGUUUGGGGAGGAAGAGGGACAGUUAAUUUAAAGUAGAUAUCCAAUAAAUAGUACUUAAUACUGUGAGAGUAAAAAGCAAAGGAGGUAAAGCAAGGUGUGGAACACCCCUGGAGGCCCCUCUGUGUCCAAGGCAGUCCAGUGGGCUGAGUUCAGUGCUUCCAGUAAAGACCGGUACCUGUCUUGGACUGUCCAGAGGUUCCCAGCUAUAAAGGAGGGCUAGCCCCCUUGAGUCACUUGGAGCCUGUGGUUUUUCUGCAGUGGGUGUUCCCUGACCCAGUGUGUUAUUGACCUCACAGGAAGUAAAGAAAAGCUCUUUUUCAGGACAAAGAUAAGGCUUUUCAUCUUCUUUGUCUUUAUCUUUGGCGAUUAUUUGUAUCUUUUAUUGAAAUCAUAGACUAUUCCUUUUUGGAAAUAUGGAGUGUAAUGUUGUGAACAGAAUCAACACAAAAUGACUACGACUGCAUUUUCAUCAUUGUGAUCAUCUCUCCAUUGCCUUGGAAAAGCAGGAACUACAGAUUUAAACUUACAACUCUUUAAUUUAGGAGGUACAUUGUUUUCAAAAGAAGUGAGAAAUUUUAUACACACUAAGAAUCCCAAUGCUCUUGCUCUCCUUUUCCAGAAAAGAAAUAAGAGCUUUAAAAGGCACCUUGGUAGAAACUGUGAUUUGUUUGAGUGUCAAAGUUGUGGAGACAGAGGCUGCUAGAUCUCACCCCACCCCACCCUACCCCUGAGCUUGAGUUAUAAUUACAAAAGGGAAAAAAAAUGGCUUUGAGUGGCCAUUUUGGUUUCUCCAGUACAUAAUACCUGUUAUUAAAGAAGUUCCUGCCUGGUCUAAUUGCUUAUUAUGAGACUAGAACAUCUAAAGCCAAUUUAACAGCACACAUGAAGGAUCUUGAGCAAUGUUAGAAAUAGUAUCGAAAGCUAGUGGAAAGUGGUCUCUUCUAGCACCCAUCCUCAGUAUGGUGGAUUCUCUCUUCCUCUUUCUGUUGGUGCUUCCUCUUUCUGUUGGUGCUUCAGCCACAAUAGCCUUUCGCUUCCUUCUACCUCAGCUCAUUUGCCCAUGCUGUUGUUUCUGGCUGAGUAGUUGAUAUUCCUCCUUACCUCAUUAACUCUACCCAUCAUGCAUAUUUCCUCUCGGAAUUCUUCCCUGGUUGGCCCACCCCCACCUCACCCAGGUCAGAUCCCCUAGUCAGGGGCCUUAGAGCUCCAGGAUGGUACUUCAUAAUUGUGAGCAUAGUAGUUAUAUAUUUAUUUGUGUAAUGGUGUGUGUUUGUAUGAGAUUCACAACAGCAGGAACUUUGUUUUGCUCACAAGAUGGUAUCCCCAUCAAGAGCACAAGAUCCAGCACAUAUUAAAUGAAUAAGUGUCAGGGACAGUUUCAUCUAUUUUGUAGAAAACCCUUGUUUUGGUAUUAGCUUAAGUAAGGAAUAUGCUUGACAGCAAAUAAUUGAAAACCUAAUGAACAGUAGUUUAAAAAGUAGGUUUAGUUUCCUAUAAUUUAUGAAAAUAUUCAAACAUACAAAAUAUUUGAAUUUUACAGUGGACAUCUGUAUACCAGCUGCCUAGAUUGUACUGUUGACAUUUUACUGUACUAUACUUUAUCACUUAUCUACCCAUGUAGCCAUUUUUUAAAAAUGUAUUUCAACAUAAGUUUCAGGCUUCAGCACAUUUCAUCCUAAAUACUUCAGCAUACAUAUUACCUAGAGUUCAGAUUAGUUUAAGAUUCUUGUUGAGAUAAAAUUUAAAUCAAUAAAGUGUGCAAAUCUUAGAAGUGUACUUUUCAAUACAUUUUGACAUGUAAAUACUCAUGUAUCACAAACCCCUAUUAAGAUGCACACUAUUACUAUCAGCCCAGAAAGUUCCUUCAUAACCCUUUUCAUUUUAUCCCUGCCCUUAGCCCCCAAGAGACAAACACUGCUCUGAUUUUUUUUUUUUUUUACCAUGGAACAGUUUUGCAUGUUCUAGAACUGUAUAUAAAUGGAAUUACAGUAUGUGCUCUUUUGUGUAAGCCUUCCUUUACAAAACAUACUGUUUUUGAAAUUCAUCCAUUUUGUUGUGUCACUUUGUUCCUUUUAAAAGCUGAUUCAUAUUCCAUUAAAUGAAUAUACCACA